GGAUGGUGGUGGCGGGAGCGGCUGCUGCGUUCUCGUUGCGGGGUGAGGCCUCGCCCGGGGACCUUGCCCGCCGCCACCCCCACACUCCCUCCCCCGGCGGCGCGAAGCCCCGGCGGUCCCUCUCGGGACGCAGAUAGACCGUGCAGAGCGGGCCACGGGCUCCUCGGGGUUGUCCCGCUCCGUGACCCCUGAACGGGGAAGGCUGGUGGCCGGGACAGGCGGCGAGCUGGCGCUCUGCGGGCUGCUGCGGGCGGCGGGGGGCGCCAGUGCUGAGCCUCCGGGUGCCGGUCUCGGGUCUCCCGGCUCUCAGCCCGGUGCGGUCCGCUCCCGCGUCUGCGUCCGCGAGGCCGGGGUGCAGCCCGGCCGCGGUGCUCUUUCGCCUGCUGGGGGCCGGGAGCUGAGAAGGGGUGGGCAUGGCCAGCGUCCCGCAGCUGUUGGACGACCUGUGCGAGGCCCUCCUGCCAGCCGCGAAGGCUCCCCUGGGCCAGCGCGGCGUGAGCCGGCAGAGGGCAAAGCAGAGCCUCAAGAGGGUGGCCUACAAUGCCCUCUUCACGGGCCUUUUUCAAGACGAGACUCGGAGACUGCAGCCUGAUCUCGCGAAGCUCCCCGUGAAGAACAAGGUCCUCAUGCUGUCCUUCGACUUGAGAGUGGGCGGUCUGGGCACCGAGGCUGACCGUCUGGAGGAGCUGGUGGAGGAGCUCCUCGCGGCCCCUUGCGGUCCGCUGGUGGAGGUGGGGUCUGUUUUGGACCUCCUGGUGCAGCUGGCAGGGAGCGGUCCCCCUCAGGUGCUGCGGCGCAAGAGGGACUACUUCUGGAACAACAGGCACGUGGGGCGAAACGUGCCCUACGGCGGCUACGACUGCUACGACCUGAGUGUGUUUGAGUUGGACGUCCAGUCUUUGAUCUCCAGGGAGGAGUACUUAUGUCAGGACAUGAUCCAGAAGGCGCUUCAGGUGAUGGAGGCGGCCCCAGGCACUGGCCUGCCCACCACGGGGCUCUUCUCAUAUGGGGAUCCUUGCAGUGACAGGUUUGAGAGAGACACCCGGGUCUCGCUUUUCGGCGCCCUUGUGCACAGCCGCACAUAUGACAUGGACAUACGGCUGGACCUGCCCCCGGUGCCGGACAGUGCAGACCUCUCUGGAUUGGCCAUUAAGGUUCCUCAGAGUGUGGAUCAGUCUGACGAUGAAGGGUUCCAGUCGGCAUCUAAUUUGACUCCUGACUCCCAGUCUGAACCAGGCAUGACUCCAGACAUUGACCUGUGGGACGCCGUGCUCACCUACGAGGCCAGCAAGCGGAGGUGCUGGGAGCAAGUUGGAUGCCCCCCCGGCCACAGAGAGGAGCCGUACCUCACCGAGGCCGGAAGGGACACCUUCGACAGGUUCUGCAGGCUCCGCCACGGGGAGCUGCAGGUGCUUGGCGGGGGCCUGCUACAGGCCCCACCGCUUGUCCUGGUGAAGGAGUGCGAGCUGGUGAAGGAUGCGCUGAACGUCCUGAUCGGGGUCGCGUCGGCCACGUUUUCCCUCUGCCAGCCGGCCCAGACCUUCAUGGUGAAGCGAGGUGUCCAUGUGUCCGGAGCCUCUCCCGAGAGCGUCAGCAGCCUCCUCUCCGAGGUGGCCGAGUGUGGGACGCACUACGCACGUCUGAGCCAGUUCUCUCUGCAGCCUGUGCUGGACUCCUCGUGCGGCAAGGGGCUCGUGUUCCAGGCCUUCACCAGCGGCCUGAGGAGGUACCUGCAGUACUAUCGGGCCUGCGUCCUCUCCACCCCACCCACCCUGAGCCUCCUCACCAUUGGCUUUCUCUUCAAGAAACUGGGGCGGCAGCUCAGGUACCUGGCCGAGCUUUGUGGCGUGGGCACUGCGCUCCCAGGUAGCGGCAGCGGGGAACCCAAGGCCGCCUUCCCCACCGGGGUGAAGCUGCUCUCCUACCUGUACCAGGAAGCUCUGGAUAAUUGCAGCAACGAGCACUAUCCCGUGCUGCUGUCCCUGCUGAAGACCAGCUGUGAGCCCUACACGAGGUUCAUCCACGACUGGGUGUACAGUGGCGUCUUCAGAGAUGUCUGCGGCGAGUUCAUGAUCCAGGUGAACCACGAGUACUUGGGCUUCAGAGAUAAAUUUUACUGGACCCAUGGCUAUGUGCUCAUUUCCAAAGAGGUGGAGGACUGCGUCCCUGUGUUCUUGAAGCACAUUGCCCAUGAUGUGUACGUCUGCGGGAAGACCAUCAACUUGCUGAAAGUCUGCUGCCCCCGGCAUUACCUUUGCUGGUCUGAUGUCCCCGUCCCUCGGAUCUCGGUGAUUUUCUCCCCUGAGGAGUUGAAGGAGGUCGAGAGGGACUGUGCCAUCUACGUGGGGCGGAUGGAGAGGGUGGCACGCCACAGCUGCAUCAGCAAGGAGGAGAAGGAAUUACGAGUGGAAAUUGCAAAGCAAGAAUUGAUUGUCCAGGCUCGGGAAGCAGCGUCCAGAGUCCUGCGAGCGCUCAGUGAUCGGCAGACCUCGGAACGCAUGGCCUUGGACGCCCGGAAGCGAGAGCAGUUUCAGAGGCUGAAGGAGCAGCUUGUGCAGGACCAGGAGCGGCGCCGGGCAGCCCGGCAGGAGGCCCCGGAUGACGACGCCGGCCGAGUGCGAGAGCUCCGCGACAGGGAGAGGCGGCUGAGGGCCCUGGAGGAGCAGCUGGAGAGGAGGGCGAGGCAGGCGCUGGUUGACCAUUAUAGCAAGUUGUCGGCAGAAGCUGCUCGCCGAGAGCAGAAGGCGCUGUGGAAGAUCCAGAGGCGCCGGCUGGCAAGCGCGCGGCUUCGUUUCCUCGUGGAGGAUCAGGAGCACAUUCAGGGGAUGCUGAAGGACGUGUCUGAGGGGAAGGCCCUGGAGCCACUGGCUGUCCUCCCUGUUGCUGGGUCCCAGACUUUGUCUUUGGGCUGUGAGCACCCCGCCGGUGGCAGCAGCUCCGACUCCGGGUGUGCAGAGCCGCGGCAUGUGGCUGCCUGGGACUGCCUGAACGUGGGGACGCCGGAGCAAGUCAGGCCACCAGCUGCAGGGGCCUGCGGCUCGGGGCCAGGAGCUGAGCCGCAGCCAGGGCCCGGGGCCGGGCUGGGGCCGUUCUCCGAGGGCCUCAGCAUCCAAGACUUCCUGCCCAGAGCCCGGGAGGCCGAGACGCCUGCGCAUGCUGGUGCGGCCCCUGUCCUGGAGGAGGCAUUACAAACCAUCGGCUCCGACCUGCCUCCCUCGGCUCCAUCCGAUGUGGUGGCCACAGGGCCUGCUGGGUCACAGGAGUAUGAUUUCAGAACCAUCCUGAGGCCCGCUGUGGCCCCUUUGGCUUCCCCAGGGUCCCUGCAGACUGUAGGAGGUGGCUCCAGCAAUGAGGGGCAGCAGCUGUGGCGGGACAGUGUCACACAGCCAGAGGACACAGGUGUCCCAGAUAGGCACGUGGCUCUGCCUCACCCCCACCCCGCUGGGCACACCGUCCCCCAGGAAGGGAGCAGUCAGGCCAUGGGGCAGCUCCUUGAGCAUGUGUCAGAGGGCAGCGUUCCCAUAGGCGGCUGUACUUCUGGGAUGGCCCCCUCUCGACCACGGUGGAACGUCCAUGGACACGUGUCUGAUGCCAGCAUCAAGGUUGGGGAGAAUGUGUGGGAUGUGGCCCCCUCCCGACCGCGGUGGAAUGUCCACGGACACGUGUCUGACGCCAGCAUCAAGGUGGGGGAGAACGUGUGGGAUGUGGCCCCCUCCCGACCGCGGUGGAAUGUCCACGGACACGUGUCUGACGCCAGCAUCAAGGUGGGGGAGAACGUGUGGGAUGUGGCCCCCUCCCGACCGCGGUGGAAUGUCCACGGACACAUGUCUCAGUCCCACAUGGCGCUGAGUGCACUCUCUGGGCAAGGCCAGCCCAAUAUGCCCAGGCCUUGCCAGAGCCUCACUGACCAGGUGUCUCAGUCGGGUCUCAGUCUGGGAGCACAGAGUCCCGUCUGUGAGCACGAGCCACGACUGCCUGCAGAGACGGCUGGUUCCAGUGGUGGGGAGCCACAUGGCCUCCAGGCUUUGCCGUCCGCAGUGGCUGCAUCUGUGGACCUGGGUGAUGGUAUCCCUGAAGAGCCAGGACCGGGACCGAGUAGGGACACGGAGGACCUCUCUCCAAGUCACCCUCCAAGCUCACAGGAUGACGUGGCGGCCCAGAGCAGCCCCGGCCUUGGUGAGGAGGUGGCCGCGGCCCAGCGCUGGGGCCAGGAGCAGGCCUACCUAGCGGGUCUGGCAGAGCAGUACGGGCUGGAGCAGUACCCGGACAGCUAUGAGGCCAUGUCAGAGCCUCCUGUUGCCCACCUGCUACACCAUGGGCUUCCCCGGGCCUUCGCCCUCCCGGAGGACCCCCGCGUCCCAUCGGACGCAGAUGAGACCGCGGUGCAGCUGAGCGAGCUCCUGCCGCUGCCUGUGCUCAUGAAGCACUCCAUCAGCGCCCCGCUGGCUGCGCACGUCUCGUUGGUGAACAAGGCUGCCGUGGACUACUUCUUCGUGGAGCUGCGGCUGGAGGCGCACUUCGAGGCGCUGCGGCAUUUCCUGCUCAUGGAGGACGGCGAGUUCGCACAGUCGCUCAGCGACCUGCUCUUUGAGAAGCUGGGGGCGGGCCAGACGCCUGGGGAGCUGCUCAACCCACUGGUGCUCAACUCCGUGCUCAGCAAGGCCCUGCGGUACAGCCUGCACGGCGACACGCCGCACGCCGCCAACCUCUCCUUUGCCCUCAAGUUCCUGCCCGAGGCCUUCGCCCCCAAUGCGCCCGAUGUGCUGAGCUGCCUGGAGCUCAGGUACAAGGUCGACUGGCCCCUGAACGUGGUGCUCACUGAGGGCUGCCUGAGCAGGUACAGCGGCAUCUUCUCCUUCCUGCUGCAGCUCAAGCUCAUGAUGUGGACGCUCAAGGACGUCUGCUUCCACCUGAAGCGCGCAGCUCUGGUGAGCCGCGCGGCCGGCUCCGUGCAGUUCCGCCAGCUGCAGCUCUUCAAGCACGAGAUGCAGCACUUUGUCAAGGUCACGCAGGGCUACAUCGCCAACCAGAUCCUGCACGUCACCUGGUGCGAGUUCCGGGCCCGGCUGGCGCAGGUGGGCGACCUCGAGGACAUCCAGCGCGCGCACGCCGAGUACCUGCACAAGGCCGUGUUCCGGGGCCUGCUGACCGAGAAGGCCGCGCCGGUCAUGAACGUCAUCCACAGCGUCUUCAGCCUCGUGCUCAAGUUCCGCAGCCAGCUCAUCUCCCAGCCCUGGGUCCCCGCCGGCGGCCCCCGGGGCGCGGAGCACCCCAACUUCGCCCUCAUGCAGCAGUCCUACAGCACCUUUAAGUACUACUCCCACUUCCUCUUUAAAGUGGUGACCAAGCUGGUGAACCGAGGCUACCAGCCCCACCUGGAGGACUUCCUGCUGCGCAUCAACUUCAACAACUACUAUCAGGACGCCUGAGGCUGUGCAACACAGGGUCUGAGGUCCGUGUCCGGUACACUUUUGGUGCGUACACGUCCAGCUGCUUCAGCACCGACCAUUCGAAUGAUGGUCUUUGCUCCAGGGUGAGUGACACCUCUGGAGACCAGACCUGGCAGUCACCACAGGGCUCACUGCGUCAGCCUCUGGCCAGAGCGACAAGUGCGCUCCACUCACCUCCUCCUAGUCCGCGUGAGGAACUGGGACAAGGAGACCUGUCCUCAAAUGUCAGCACCCCCCCCCGGCCCUGGGAACGACUCUCCCCCAGCGAGACCUCAUGCUCGGCAGGAAGCCAGCACCGGUCAGUUUAAUCUUGAAUUGGUAAAAACGGUCCUGAAAACGAGCGGCCUGUCCUCUUGCCCAAGGCAGGGUUCCCAAAGCAAAAGCCAGAAUUGGACAAUUACACAGCAAGGAUAAAGGGCCUCUCUGCACCCACAGGGCCAGCACGACACGCGACAGCAGCCCCUUCUCCUGCACACCUGUUGUCUGUUCCCAGCCGAGCUGUGGGGUGGACCCAGCUGAGGACAAGCUCUUCUGUACCCGCUGGGAGAGGCAUCUCCCGAAAUCCCAACCCCACAGCAGGCAGGAGGUCACCCGCCCAUCCCCCAAAGCCCACAUCUAGGUACCCAACAGGGCUGGCCUGAAGCCACACACAGCCACUCGGGACGUUGCCUCCAGGCAUGCUGAGGCCGGGGACCCCAGCACACGCUGAGGAAAGGUGAAAUGACCCCUUUCUUUUAAGAGAAAUAUUCUAGCAGACCUCAAGUCUAGAAACAUGGACUUAAAACACUUAAGUCUUCAAAUAUAAGAGAUGUCCAGAAGGUUCCUCUCCCAAGAAGGUCUUAGUAACCGGCAAAAAUAAAUGACCAAACUG